rnacentral:tRNA from 1 species
GGGGAUUUAGCUCAGUGGUAGAGCACUCGCCUAGCAAGUGCAAGGCCCUGGGUUCGGUCCCCAGCUCCG